CAAGUUAUAUUCAUAGGAAUAGUAUUAUUUACAUUAAUAUAAGAGUUGUGCAAUUCAACUUGACUUGA
rnacentral:tRNA from 1 species